rnacentral:rRNA from 1 species
AACGUCGUGAGACAGUUCGGUCCCUAUCUGCCGUGGGCGCUGGAGAAUUGAGGGGGGUUGCUCCUAGUACGAGAGGACCGGAGUGAACGCACCGCUGGUGUCCGGGUUGUCACGCCAGUGGCACUGCCCGGUAGCUAAGUGCGGAAAAGAUAAGUGCUGAAAGCAUCUAAGCACGAAACUUGCCCCGAGAUGAGUUCUCCCUGAGCCUUUAAGGCUCCUGAAGGGACGUUGAAGACGACGACGUUGAUAGGCCGGGUGUGUAAGCGCAGCGAUGCGUUGAGCUUACCGGUACUAAUGAUCCGUGAGGCUUAACCUUACAACGCCAGAGGCGUUUUG